CUAUUCGGCGGUCGCCGCGGUUCUAACCUCCUUGCUCUCCCUCGUAAAUGACAAGGCACCUCUAACCUACGGCUUUGUGUCUUGUUUUUUUUCCCCUGUGUGAAUUUCAAAGCAAAAGCGAGCGGUGAAUACCUUUCAGUGGCCGGUACGCGUCGGGGUCGCCCUCUUCGCACUUAAAGACGCUGGUCCAUGCGAGGGCCAAUGCAGAUUUCGGUGGCCGAGGGGUGGAACUCGGAGCAGGCAGGGCAGAACCUUCGACCCUGAGGGACCUCCGGGCUAGCUUUGGAGUAGGCGAGACAGACAGAAACGGAGCGAGGGAGGGAGAGAGAGGGAGAGAGAACAGGAGCAAGCCUCGAUCUGGGAGAGGGGGAGUCUCGACCGCAGUGUAGUGAGAAGGGACUGCCACUGGGGUCAGAGAGCACGUUCUAGAGCACAGCCCCGCUUAGGCAUGGCGGCGUGUAUAGGGUUUGAAUAUGUAGCCUACCCCACUGUACACUGUCUGUAUGCAGGGAGGAACAGCCAUGAUAGACGCGGCGGCGCUUCCAUGUGGUGAAUUUCCAUGCUGCCGUUGUAUUUCGCGCUCUUAGAAUGUCCUUAUUAAGCUACCGAUUGAGUAUUGGGCACAAUUGUGGUGGGCUAGAUCAAAGUGCUAACUGGAUAGUGGUCUUGGACACUGAAAAGUUAAAUGGAGCAUUGGAAAGGUGUUUGUCACCUCUGAUCAUCAAAGAAGUCUGUUGACAUGCAAGGACCACGACAGGAUUGGAAACUACCCAUGAGAUCUUGCCGCACGGCUUUCACUCCCUCCUUCUGUGGCUUGCCGCUAAGAAUUUGAUACAGGCGCGGGUGCUGAGGCCGGG
ensembl:lncRNA